rnacentral:rRNA from 1 species
CCCUUAGAUGUUCUGGGCCGCACGCGCGCUACACUGAUGCAUUCAACGAGUUUCUUCCUGGUCCGAGAGGAAUGGGUAACCUUUUGAAAAUGCAUCGUGAUAGGGAUAGACUAUUGCAAUUAUUGGUCUUCAACGAGGAAUUCCUAGUAGACGUAGUUCAUCAGACUACAUCGAUUACGUCCCUGCCCUUUGUACACACCGCCCGUCGCUCCUACCGAUUGAAUGCUCAGGUGAGCCAUUCGGACUUUCAUCAUGCUGGUUUCCAGUUUUGAUGAAGGAAAGUCUUGCGAACCUUAUCAUUUAGAGGAAGGAGAAGUCGUAACA